rnacentral:rRNA from 1 species
CGGAGGUGGCAAGCGUUACUCGGAUUCAUUGGGUGUAAAGGGCAAGUAGGCGGUCUAUUAAGUGAGGGGUGAAAUCUUCCGACUCAAUCGGGAAACUGCCUUUCAAACUGAUAGACUUGAGGACGGAAGAGGAAAAUGGAAUUCUCGGUGUAAGGGUGAAAUCUGUAGAUAUCGAGAAGAACACCAGCGGCGAAGGCGAUUUUCUGGUCCGUACCUGACGCUAAAUUGCGAAAGCUAGGGGAGCAAACAGAAUUAGAUACUCUGGUAGUCCUAGCCGUAAACGAUGAGCACUAGGUGUUGGCCCUUCAUUGGGUCGGUGCCGCAGCUAACGCAUUAAGUGCUCCACCUGGGGACUACGGUCGCAAGGCUA